ensembl:lncRNA
CCUGAACAGCCUUGUCUUCCCAAGGAUUCGGCCCCACUGCAGCCGUGGGGAGGCUGCCCCAGACACUGAGACCUGACGGCCGGACCGAGCGAGGGUGGGCCCAGGGUUCUCCUCGGGCUGCCCUGAGAGUCCCAGUCCUCCGGUUGGGGGGUCAAGCCCGCUGCCCAGUCGUGGCCGAAACUGCUCUGGCAGCCUCUUCCUGGGGCAGACAGGGGACCCUCCUGGAAAGGGCUGACCCCCCAACUCCAGCACUAAUCCCGGAUUCCCGCCUUUUCUGAUGCCGCUUCCUCUCAUCUCAAGGAUGCUCGGCGCCCCCCUGCCCGACCCCGGGCCUGGGUCAUCACAGGCCCUCGCUUGUGUGGAGAGCGGGGUCCUGGGCAGUGGCGGGAUGGAGGGGGCGGGCAUGAGGAGAUGUGGGGUCGCUCCUCCUGGAGGACUCGGAUUGGUGGAGUACCUCCUGUCCUGGCCACUUCCCCCAGGGAAGCUCACCACCAAAGUUCCCCAGGGGCACGGCCACAACCAUUUCCUCUCUGUGAGUCCCAGAGAGGGGAAGGAGGCUCCUCAUGCCGCGGACAAAGGCCUCCCUGCCCUCAGAGGUAGGCUACCCUGAUCCUCGGGCCCCAGAUCUGGGGUUGCCAUUUCCAGCUCUUCAAAUCUGUCUGUUGCUGAUUUGCUGUGAGACCUUGGGCAAGUCACUUCCCCUCUCUGGGCCUCGGAGUGUCACCAAUAGAAUGAAUGAUCCAAUUUGCCCACCCACUCGGACAUUCCAAAAUGGUGAAACAUUCAGAGCCAUGUGGUUUUGCAUAAUCAGAGCUGCAUUCCUUUAAUUUGACAAAAAUGCAAAUCAUCCUGAUAGAUGACUCAGUAGUCCUCAACCCCAGGCCUGUAAGCCCACAUCACAUUGACUGGGGAGGGAGGACCCACCCAGACCCACAGAAUCAGUCUCUCUGGGCCUCAGGGUGGGCAGGACCUGCAGAUUUGCAUUUAUAAGAGCCUGCCGGGGACAGGAGUUCAGACUGCAGAGGGCGGAGGGGAGGGAGAGCAGAGUCUUCCCACCCCGACGCCUGACAAAAUGAGUAACAGUGACAAAUGGCUUAUGAAAAGAAGGAGCCAACCGACCAGGAAGACAGUCUCCCCAGCAAUGGCCUCCUGGGCCCUCCGUCCUCACGCAUCCGGGGCUGCACUGGGCAUGGGAGCAGGACACACACCUGGCUGGACAGCAGGGCCCGGGCAGCAGGCUGGGGACAGGGCGGCAGGAAAGGGAAGAUCCCCUGGCACCUUGGAGCCGCCGAGACGCAGGCCGAAAACAGCACAACCCUGAGAAGGGUCCUGAGGGGAAGGCAGAGCGGUGCCCGAUGUUAGGAGUCAAACGUCUGCAGGAGUCGCUCCAGCGGACUGCGCAAGAUGAAAAGGACUUGCAAGGCUGCCUUGCGACCGCCAGGAAGGGGAAGGAAGUCACAUGAGGGCACAGCUGAAAGGGAAGAGGAUCUGAGGAUGGAAGGUGGCUUCCUUGAAACGGAUAGCUGCAGGCCAGGGGAAAGUUAAUGAGAACAUGAAUCAGCUUGAAAGAGAGCACAGAGGCGAGAUGAUUAAAAUAACAUCAGGAGGGGCAAAGAGCGUGCAGAGGGGAAGACGCACGCUGAGGACCCAGACAGGACCACUGCACUUCUGCGAACUGAGUUGCACACGUCUGAAGAGCGGAUUAAGAGCACAGAGAGAAACUCGAAAUAAUCACAAUGAAUUCAGAGAAAAAGGACAAAGUAACUCAAACAAUUAGAGAAAAGAUGAUCAUUCUGGAACCUAGACCUCCUGUAAGAGGAACCGGGGUCUCUGAAGUUGAUUAUCCAACAGCUAAUGCAGAAAAAAUAUUUGGAGAAGCUCUCCCCAAAAGGGAGGAAGAAGCAGCCAGCUGUACUUGUGAGAGGACCCAGGGGGGUUCCCGAGAUCAGCGUCAGGACAUGCUGAAUCCAGCUGAGUUACUGAACUUUGAAGGACAAACAAGACACUUCUUCAGACACCCAGGGGGAACAAAGCAAGUCACCAAGAGGAGAAAAAAAUCAGUCUGGCCUCAAAUUUUUCCGCGGCAACAUUCAAUACCAGAAGGAAAGGAAACUGAGUUGGGUGGAAAAGGGGAAACCAAGAACAUGACACCCGGUGAGGGAGUUCAGAUUUACAGACAACAUGGAAAGAGGCAGGGGAAUAGCACCCUCAGCCUUUUUUGAAAAAGAAAAUUACUCAGCAAUGAAACUAGCUAACCAUUGAAAGGGGCAAUGUUUUUUAAGGUAAAAUCAUGACUCUCAUACAAUAGAAAAUGAACACAUGUCAAAAACUUGGUUUAACUGAUUAAAUAAUUAGAGAACAAGAAAUAGGUUCCAAGUGGUUCCAGGGGAAAUUGGAACAACACACACGUAUAGACAGAUAAGGAAUAUGAGAUGAACUUACAUAUGCAUGCAAAGCCGAUCAAUACCCACAGGGCGACGAUCAAUUGCGGUCCACUGGAUGCAAUUCAUUUGCAUUCCAUGCAUAAGAAUCAUUUGCACUGCUGUCAUUUUUCUACAACUUAGAUUUGUGCAAAGGUGAUGAAAGGCACAGGUUCCUUAAUACAGGACACCAGUAGUCUUUUUGGCUUUUUUGGUCCAUUUCAAAAUCUUUCACAGUUUUUCCUGCUACAACCAAGAGAUGACUCCAAGUGCAAAACUCAGGGACAAAAUGUGCUUUAAAAAUGGAAUGGAAUCUGUUUGAAUACAAGACUAAAAUGAAAUACUGGGAGAAUUAUGGUUGUAGAACAGAUUGUAAGUAUUAUAAACCUUGACACAGUGAAAACAUCAGAAUCAAAAUCGGGAGCUGGGGGGCCGGCCCAGUGGUAUGGUGAUUAAGUUCACGCGCCCGAUCUGGUGGCCCAGAAUUUGCAGAUUCAGAUCCCGGGCACAGACCUACAUCCCGCACAUCAAGCCAUCCUGUGGCGGCAUCCCACAUCCAAAAAAAUAGAGGAAGACUGGCACAGAUGUUAGCUCAGGGCCAAUCUUCCUCAGGAAAAAAAAAAAAAAAAAUCAGGAGCUGGAGGCAGGGAGAGGUUGUGUAAGGGAACUGAUCACCUUUCUCAUUCCAAGGAAAUGACGGAGCCUGCCCAAAAUGAAACAUUGAUUCUUUUUCUCCAGGACUCCAAUCUUUAAUGAGUUUCAUAAUCUUUUUUCUUAACGUUAGAGAAAUUCGCUAUGAACUAAUAUCUCUGUGGAAAGUAAAGAUUUAUCUAAGACUUUCUGUGGAACUCAAGAAAAACUAAAUACUUUUAGUUUAAAAUAUAGCAGGUGUGGUACAAUCCCAUUUUUGAAAAUGAUUUGGACCUUUUGACCUUUCUGUCUCCCUUUGCCUCUUUCUCUCCAAGGGCCUCUGUGUGCAGAGGCCAUUCACCAAAUGUUACCACUCGCCGGUAGGCUGCAUUAAGCGUCUUCGCCUCUGUACCAGAAGUUCUUUGCACACAUCUAGCGGCAUUCUUCUGAACAGCCGGAGUGCAGAACCACUUCAUUUUAAGCUGUGUGAGUCAUUGACACUUUAGUGUAAAUAAGGUUUUCAGGAAGACAGUGUGAAGACCUGGAGUUUCUGCAGGUCCCGACCUGGGCAGCUGAAUCCUGGGAAGAGCUGAAGAGGGCAGCUGGUCCCGAGGUCCUCAGCCCCUCUUGGCUGAAAGAACCGUUGAGCUUGUCAAGCAAGCCCCUCUUCCCACAGGUCCCUGUCCUGGAAUUCUAAGCCUGUGAGACAGAUGCCUAUUCUAGCUGGUACUGGACCCAGAAGCUGGGGGCCUGGCCCAGCCUUGAUAAGUGUCUGGGACAGGGUUCUCCUCCCUGCAGCAUUGUGGGGGCUCCUGAGCUCCAUCUGACCCACUGCCCUCAUAUCCAAUGCCCACCUCUUGAUCAGAACCCUGACUCCUGCCCUCCUCCAUUUGCACCCUUGCUCUAGCCACAUUGGCCUAACUUCCCCUUUCCCACACCACGGGGCCUUUGCACAUGCUUUAUCCUCCACGAGAAUCCCUUCCCACCCACCUUCCCUCACCCCCAGAUCCCCAGGCUCCUCCUCUGGAAGCCGUCCCUGACAUACCUCCCAACCCCAGAGGUCAGGCCUCUGCCCCCACUGUGAGCCCCCCAUGGGCCAGCCUGGCUCUGCUCAUCCCUGUGGCCCAGUGCCCAGCCAGGGCCUGGCGUUGGGGAGGCAGAAAGGCAAGUGGAUGACUGGGCCUUGACCUCAUCACCAGCUGGUGACCUCAGCCAGAUCCCUUGUUCUCACUGACUGUUUCCUCAUCUGAAAAAUAGAGACAGGGGAAGUCCUCCUCAUGGAGGCCUCAAGAGGAAUAAAGAAGAUAAUGCGUAUUUUUAUUUUAAGGUUUGUUAAACGCAUGACUAUGAGAUGUGAGCUUAAAGGAGGAGGGAGGAAGUGAAAGGAGGAACCAGCCCCGCCUCCAGUCUGCACCCCCUGGUUCCCACCGGGUAGCACCUCCAUCCCACCCACCGUCGCUGAACACCUACCCUGUGUCCCAGGUGCCAGGGGAUGCUGUGAGAUCCUCUCCGCUUGACCGCCACUAGGCAUCCCACGUCAGCCCACUUCUCUGCCACCUCCCGGGGCCAAGCUGCUCACCUCUUGCUUGCACAGAGCAGCGGCCACCAACUGGACUCCCGACCCUUUGACCUUGGCCUCUAAAAUCCAUUCUCCGACUCAUCAGAGUGACCUUGUCCCAGCAUCGUUCUGACUACACCAUUUCCUGUCUCCAAUCCUCCAUUGGGUCCUACCAAACGGCGAUACAGAUAAGCUCCAAGAAGAAAAACGACUUGCCACGUUGGCGACCAAGCUGAGAUGGUCACUGGGCCUGACCUGCAAUUCUGCGCCCUUUCUAUUGUCCCCUGUGCUCUGUUGCAUGCUCCCUGCCCAAUGGCCCCUCCUCACAAAGGCCUGGACUGGUGCAGCAGCCUCCUCGUCAGCCUCCUGGCCUCUCGUCCUCCACUCUGCCCACGACCUGAGAGACUUCUUAGGCAGACCUGUCGUCACGCAGCUCCCCGACUCAAAAGCAUCCCGCAGCUCCCCACAGCGCCCGAGUCUAAGUCCAGCCUCAUAGUGGGCUCCCAUUUGAGGGAUAAAACAGGUACUGGCCUCACAGAUUCUGUGGGCCAAGAAUUUGGACAGGGCGCAGAGGGGACGGCUUGUGUCUGCUUCACCACAUCUGGGGCCUCAGCUGGAAGACUCGCAAGCUAGGGGCUGGAAUCUUGAAGGCCCCUUUGCUCACAUCCCUUCACUCUUGUAGAUUCCCAAAAGAGAGGAGAAUUUAGAAGACUCCUGGAAUUCAUGGCCGCUGAAGCACAUCCUCCUGAAUUUAAGUUACAUAAGGAAAUCGACGACUGAAUGUGGUCAAAAGGAUAUUCUCAAAAGUUAUUGUUGACAACAAAGAUUUAUCCAGAGACACAGCUGAUCUGGUUCUCUGAAUAGGAUGGUUGAUGCUGGUGGAUUGAUCAGCAGAGAUCUUAGCUGGGCAUUGGCUGGAACAUCUCCAUGUGGCCCUGCCCUGUGUCCUGGGCUUCCUCACAGCGUGGUGGAUGGGUUCAGAGUCAAGAGGGAGGCCGAAGCCUUAUACCUUUUAUGACCGAGUCUUGAAGCCCCACAGCAUCACUUCUACCACAUUUUACUCAUCAAGGCAGCCGCUCACCUUCAAGGAGAGAGGAAAUGGACCCCACCUGCUGUGGGGGAGCAGCAAAGUUUUAGAAGACCAUGCGGGACUGGAAAUUUUCUGUGGCCACUUUUAAACAGAUAGACAUAGGAAAACAUUAGUAUUCAGAGCUGGGAUGAGUCGGGGAGGCAUCACGCAGGCCCUGAAGGGGAGCCUGUCAGGCCGUGGGCAGAGCAGAGGGGAGGCAGGGAGGCCAGUGAGGAGGCAACCGCACUAGUCCGGGUCUUUGUGAGGAGGGGCCAUCGGGCAGGGAGCAUGCAACAGAGGAGAAGAGACAAUAGAAAGGGCACAGAAUUGCAGGUGAGGCUCAGUGAUCGUCUCAGCAUGGUCACCAACGUGGUAAGUCGUUUUCCUCCUUGGAGCUUCUCUGUGUCACCUGUAAAAUGAGUCACACACACAAACGGAAGAGGUUUCUUAUUCACAGUGUGGACCCUUUGAGAAACUGGUGAAAGGAAUGAAUCCUCCACGCAGGGGAAGGAAGACGAACUCGGGCACAUCUGUAAAACCGGGCUGAAAGUUCCGGGGGUGCCCAGGACCAGCCUGGCUUGGUGGUGAAGGUUGGGGCUCUGGACCCGGAAUGUCUGGGUGUGAAUCCUGCCUCCACUCCUUACCAGGGAAGAGACCUUGGGUGAGGGACUCAACCUGUCCGUGCCUCUGUUUCCCCACCUGUAGCAGUUAGGGCUGCAUUUGGCUGCAGGUAACUGAGGACCUCAAUAUUCAGUGCCUUCGGCAAAAUGGCAGCUCGGUUUCUUUCUUGUGGAAAAGCCCAUAUGUGUGUGGUUGCUGAUGCUGGUUCAGGAGCUGGGUCCCUUCUCUUAGAAAAACCUCUUCACCCGGAGGACCUCCCUUAAUCUCAUUGCCCACAGUGGAGUCAUGGGACUAGCCCCCUGCGGGCAAGGAUGAGGAAUGGAGCUGUAGCUCAGUGGUUCUUAACCAGAGCCAGCAUCGCAGCUCCACGGGACACUUGGAGAUGUGCGAGGACAUUUCAGGACAUCACAAUGAUGGGGCAUGCAGUGGGAGGGGGCCACUCCAGUGCACGCAACAGUUUUCCAUGGAGAAUUGUCCCCCAAAAAAGGCCAAGCGUGUCCUCCAUUGAAAAACUCCUGGGGCUGGCCCCGUGGCCGAGUGCUUAAGUUCGCGCGCUCCGCUGCAGGCGGCCCAGUGUUUCGUCGGUUCGAAUCCUGGGCGCGGACAUGGCACUGCUCGUCAGACCACGCUGAGGCAGCGUCCCACAUGCCACAACUAGAGGAACGCACAACAAAG